GUCCACGCCCUAAACGUUGAUUACUCGUUGUUGGCGAUAUACAGUCAGCGACCAAGCUAAAGCGUUAAGUAAUCCACCUGGGAAGUACGACCGCAAGGUUGAAACUCAAAGGAAUUGACGGGGGCCCCGCACAAGUGGAGGAGCAUGUGGUUUAAUUCGAUGAUACGCGAGGAACCUUACCUGGGCUUGAAAGUUAGUGACGUUCUGUGAAAGCAGAAUUCCCUUCGGGGCACAAACUAGGUGCUGCAUGGCUGUCGU
rnacentral:rRNA from 1 species